AUACGGAGGGUGCAAGCGUUAAUCGGAAUUACUGGGCGUAAAGCGCGCGUAGGCGGAUAUUUAAGUCUCAUGUGAAAGCCCUGGGCUCAACCUGGGAACUGCAUGGGAUACUGGGUAUCUAGAAUACAGUAGAGGGUAGUGGAAUUUCAGGUGUAGCGGUGAAAUGCGUAGAGAUCUGAAGGAACAUCAGUGGCGAAGGCGACUACCUGGACUGAUAUUGACGCUGAGGUGCGAAAGCGUGGGGAGCAAACAGGAUUAGAUACCCUAGUAGUCC
rnacentral:rRNA from 1 species